GAAACUGGCGAAUGGCUCAUUAAAUCAGUUAUCGUUUAUUUGAUAGUACCUACUUACUUGGAUAACCGUGGUAAUUCUAGAGCUAAUACAUGCUAAAAACCUCGACUUCGGAAGGGGUGUAUUUAUUAGAUAAAAAACCAAUGCCCUCCGGGGCUCCUUGGUGAUUCAUAAUAACUUAACGAAUCGCAUGGCCUUGCGCCGGCGAUGGUUCAUUCAAAUUUCUGCCCUAUCAACUUUCGAUGGUAGGAUAGUGGCCUACCAUGGUGGCAACGGGUAACGGGGAAUUAGGGUUCUAUUCCGGAGAGGGAGCCUGAGAAACGGCUACCACAUCCAAGGAAGGCAGCAGGCGCGCAAAUUACCCAAUCCCGACACGGGGAGGUAGUGACAAUAAAUACUGAUGUGGAGCUCUUUAGGGUUUCACAAUUGGAAUGAGAAAAAUCUAAACCACUUAAACGAGGAACAAUUGGAGGGCAAGUCUGGUGCCAGCAGCCGCGGUAAUUCCAGCUCCAAUAGCGUAUAUUAAAGUUGUUGCAGUUAAAAAGCUCGUAGUUGAACCUUGGGCCUGGCCGGUCGGUCCGCCUCACCGCGUGCACUGGUUCGGCCGGGCCUUUCCUCCUGGGGAACCGCAUGCCCUUCACUGGGUGUGCCGGGGAAUCAGGACUUUUACUUUGAAAAAAUUAGAGUGUUCAAAGCAGGCAUUUGCUCGAAUACAUUAGCAUGGAAUAAUAGAAUAGGACGUUGUGGUUCUAUUUUGUUGGUUUCUAGGACCGCCGUAAUGAUUAAUAGGGACGA
rnacentral:rRNA from 1 species